rnacentral:rRNA from 1 species
CCCAAUUGCCUUGGUUAUGGGGGGGAAACGUUCGGAACGGACGCUAAUACCGCAUACGUCCUACGGGAGAAAGCAGGGGACCUUCGGGCCUUGCGCUAUCAGAUGAGCCUAGGUCGGAUUAGCUAGUUGGUGAGGUAAUGGCUCACCAAGGCUACGAUCCGUAACUGGUCUGAGAGGAUGAUCAGUCACACUGGAACUGAGACACGGUCCAGACUCCUACGGGAGGCAGCAGUGGGGAAUAUUGGACAAUGGGCGAAAGCCUGAUCCAGCCAUGCCGCGUGUGUGAAGAAGGUCUUCGGAUUGUAAAGCACUUUAAGUUGGGAGGAAGGGCAUUAACCUAAUACGUUAGUGUUUUGACGUUACCGAAGAAUAAGCACCGGCUAACUCUGUGCCAGCAGCCGCGGUAAUACAGAGGGUGCAAGCGUUAAUCGGAAUUACUGGGCGUAAAGCGCGCGUAGGUGGUUUGUUAAGUUGAAUGUGAAAUCCCCGGGCUCAACCUGGGAACUGCAUCCAAAACUGGCAAGCUAGAGUAUGGUAGAGGGUAGUGGAAUUUCCUGUGUAGCGGUGAAAUGCGUAGAUAUAGGAAGGAACACCAGUGGCGAAGGCGACUACCUGGACUGAUACUGACACUGAGGUGCGAAAGCGUGGGGAGCAAACAGGAUUAGAUACCCUGGUAGUCCACGCCGUAAACGAUGUCAACUAGCCGUUGGGAGUCUUGAACUCUUAGUGGCGCAGCUAACGCAUUAAGUUGACCGCCUGGGGAGUACGGCCGCAAGGUUAAAACUCAAUGAAUUGACGGGGGGCCCGCACAAGCGGUGGGAGCAUGUGGUUUAAUUUCGAAGCAACGCGGAAGAACCUUACCAGGCCCUUGACAUCCAAUGAACUUUUUCUAGAGGAUAGAUCGGUUGGCCUUUCGGACAUUUGAAGAACAGGUGCUGCAUGGCCUGUCGGUCAGCUCGUGUCGUGAAGAAUGUGGAUUAAGUUCCCGUUAACGAGCCGCAACCUUUGUUCCCUUUAGUUAACCAGCAACGUAUUGGUGGGCACCUCUAAGGAAACUGCGGUGACAAACCGAAGAGGUGGGAUGACGUCCAAGUCAUCGAUGCUUACGGCUGGG